CCAGCAGCCGCGGUAAUUCCAGCUCCAAUAGCGUAUAUUAAAGUUGUUGCAGUUAAAAAGCUCGUAGUUGAACAUCUGGUCAAGCGUGACCUUGGCUCCGGUCGAGGCAGGCAUGGCCAUCCGUCAGAAAACCAGGGAGGAGCUUAAUUGAUCGCCCUGGGGAUCUGACACUUUACUUUGAAAAAAUUAGAGUGUUCAAGGCAGGCUAUUGCCCUGAAUACACAAGCAUGGAAUAAUAGAAUAGGACUGGGUCCAUUUUGUUGGUUAUUGGACGCAGUAAUGAUUAAUAGGGACAGUUGGGGGCAUUAGUAUUUAAUUGUCAGAGGUGAAAUUCUUGGAUUUAUUAAAGACUGACUUAUGCGAAAGCAUUUGCCAAGGAUGUUUUCAUUAAUCAAGAACGAAAGU
rnacentral:rRNA from 1 species